CCCCUAGACGUUCUGGGCUGCACGCGCGCUACAAUAAUACGCACAGCGAGUAUCACCGAGCUCGAAAGGGCAAGGUAAACAAUAGAAAAGGUACUGUAAUGGUUAUAGAUCCUUGUAAUUAUUGAUCUUCAACGAGGAAUUCCUAGUAAGUAUGUGUCAUCAUCACGCACUGAUUACGUCCCUGCCCUUUGUACACACCGCCCGUCGCUCCUACCGAUUGAGUGAGCCGAUGAAACUGCCGGAUGUGGACUAUUCGUAGUCUGCAGAAGAUAUUUGAAUCGUAGCGCUUAGAGGAAGGAGAAGUCGUAACA
rnacentral:rRNA from 1 species